CAAGUCGUCUGGCCGCACAGCUUCUCACCUAGUGUCACUCGGGUCCCUCUGCUGCUCUGUCUCCCAGUGGCUCUGCCAGAUCUAACACGGGGAGGGAAUUUCCAGAGGAGGCCUUUUGGGAGAUGGAGUCAACUCCAUCAUGGAAGCAAAUGCCUGCCUCCCACAUGAAGAUGUGUGAAGAUGACUUGGGGAGAGGGAGCCGACAGCAUUUCCAUGGUAACCUCAAGCAUCCCUGUGAAGUCAUCGUUGUGCCCUUCUGACGUAUUCGAACCCUGGCAACCAGGACUGUUUAUCUCUAGGGAUUGAGUUCAAGAUCUAAAAAUGUGAAAGAACUACACUGAAAUGAACAAGCACCUCACUUGCUAAGAAUGUCACUGCUGUCUGGGACAGAAGCAGUAUGAAAUAGACAAGAAGCUCUGUGAACUCAGAUGGCUGUGUUCUUCCUGUGGGAACUUGGGUACAGUAUGACCUCUCUGGUCCUCAGGUUCCUUCUUCACUUGUAAAAUGAGGGGUCAUAUUGAAAUUACUGUGGAGCCAUCAAUGACAUUCUCAAGAGUUUCUGCUGUGUCAGCCAUUCGUCUAGCAGGGAAGAGUAGCUUUUGUCUGCUCAGAAUUGGUCCUGACUACUGACUGCAAGGCCGAUCCCAUAGGCUGAUCAGUUUCAUCUGCUCCAUCUUUAUCCGGAACCCCCUCCUCAACCUCCAUCAUUCUGAAGCAAAUCAGGAGAAAAUAUCAGACUGGCCAUUCUAAGCUCCUAUUUUCCAGUCCAGCAGCCCCUUUGCUGGCAAUAAAAAUAAGCUCUGAAGAUGGGAAGAAGGGAUUAAG